AGCGUACACGGUGGAUGCCCUGGCAGUCAGAGGCGAUGAAGGACGUGCUAAUCUGCGAUAAGCGUCGGUAAGGUGAUAUGAACCGUUAUAACCGGCGAUUUCCGAAUGGGGAAACCCAGUGUGAUUCGUCACACUAUCAUUAACUGAAUCCAUAGGUUAAUGAGGCGAACCGGGGGAACUGAAACAUCUAAGUACCCCGAGGAAAAGAAAUCAACCGAGAUUCCCCCAGUAGCGGCGAGCGAACGGGGAGCAGCCCAGAGCCUGAAUCAGUGUGUGUGUUAGUGGAAGCGUCUGGAAAGGCGCGCGAUACAGGGUGACAGCCCCGUACACAAAAAUGCACAUGCUGUGAGCUCGAUGAGUAGGGCGGGACACGUGGUAUCCUGUCUGAAUAUGGGGGGACCAUCCUCCAAGGCUAAAUACUCCUGACUGACCGAUAGUGAACCAGUACCGUGAGGGAAAGGCGAAAAGAACCCCGGCGAGGGGAGUGAAAAAGAACCUGAAACCGUGUACGUACAAGCAGUGGGAGCACAGAGCAAUCUGUGUGACUGCGUACCUUUUGUAUAAUGGGUCAGCGACUUAUAUUCUGUAGCAAGGUUAACCGAAUAGGGGAGCCGAAGGGAAACCGAGUCUUAACUGGGCGUUAAGUUGCAGGGUAUAGACCCGAAACCCGGUGAUCUAGCCAUGGGCAGGUUGAAGGUUGGGUAACACUAACUGGAGGACCGAACCGACUAAUGUUGAAAAAUUAGCGGAUGACUUGUGGCUGGGGGUGAAAGGCCAAUCAAACCGGGAGAUAGCUGGUUCUCCCCGAAAGCUAUUUAGGUAGCGCCUCGUGAAUUCAUCUCCGGGGGUAGAGCACUGUUUCGGCAAGGGGGUCAUCCCGACUUACCAACCCGAUGCAAACUGCGAAUACCGGAGAAUGUUAUCACGGGAGACACACGGCGGGUGCUAACGUCCGUCGUGAAGAGGGAAACAACCCAGACCGCCAGCUAAGGUCCCAAAGUCAUGGUUAAGUGGGAAACGAUGUGGGAAGGCCCAGACAGCCAGGAUGUUGGCUUAGAAGCAGCCAUCAUUUAAAGAAAGCGUAAUAGCUCACUGGUCGAGUCGGCCUGCGCGGAAGAUGUAACGGGGCUAAACCAUGCACCGAAGCUGCGGCAGCGACGCUUAUGCGUUGUUGGGUAGGGGAGCGUUCUGUAAGCCUGUGAAGGUGUGCUGUGAGGCAUGCUGGAGGUAUCAGAAGUGCGAAUGCUGACAUAAGUAACGAUAAAGCGGGUGAAAAGCCCGCUCGCCGGAAGACCAAGGGUUCCUGUCCAACGUUAAUCGGGGCAGGGUGAGUCGACCCCUAAGGCGAGGCCGAAAGGCGUAGUCGAUGGGAAACAGGUUAAUAUUCCUGUACUUGGUGUUACUGCGAAGGGGGGACGGAGAAGGCUAUGUUGGCCGGGCGACGGUUGUCCCGGUUUAAGCGUGUAGGCUGGUUUUCCAGGCAAAUCCGGAAAAUCAAGGCUGAGGCGUGAUGACGAGGCACUACGGUGCUGAAGCAACAAAUGCCCUGCUUCCAGGAAAAGCCUCUAAGCAUCAGGUAACAUCAAAUCGUACCCCAAACCGACACAGGUGGUCAGGUAGAGAAUACCAAGGCGCUUGAGAGAACUCGGGUGAAGGAACUAGGCAAAAUGGUGCCGUAACUUCGGGAGAAGGCACGCUGAUAUGUAGGUGAAGUCCCUCGCGGAUGGAGCUGAAAUCAGUCGAAGAUACCAGCUGGCUGCAACUGUUUAUUAAAAACACAGCACUGUGCAAACACGAAAGUGGACGUAUACGGUGUGACGCCUGCCCGGUGCCGGAAGGUUAAUUGAUGGGGUUAGCGCAAGCGAAGCUCUUGAUCGAAGCCCCGGUAAACGGCGGCCGUAACUAUAACGGUCCUAAGGUAGCGAAAUUCCUUGUCGGGUAAGUUCCGACCUGCACGAAUGGCGUAAUGAUGGCCAGGCUGUCUCCACCCGAGACUCAGUGAAAUUGAACUCGCUGUGAAGAUGCAGUGUACCCGCGGCAAGACGGAAAGACCCCGUGAACCUUUACUAUAGCUUGACACUGAACAUUGAGCCUUGAUGUGUAGGAUAGGUGGGAGGCUUUGAAGUGUGGACGCCAGUCUGCAUGGAGCCGACCUUGAAAUACCACCCUUUAAUGUUUGAUGUUCUAACGUUGACCCGUAAUCCGGGUUGCGGACAGUGUCUGGUGGGUAGUUUGACUGGGGCGGUCUCCUCCUAAAGAGUAACGGAGGAGCACGAAGGUUGGCUAAUCCUGGUCGGACAUCAGGAGGUUAGUGCAAUGGCAUAAGCCAGCUUGACUGCGAGCGUGACGGCGCGAGCAGGUGCGAAAGCAGGUCAUAGUGAUCCGGUGGUUCUGAAUGGAAGGGCCAUCGCUCAACGGAUAAAAGGUACUCCGGGGAUAACAGGCUGAUACCGCCCAAGAGUUCAUAUCGACGGCGGUGUUUGGCACCUCGAUGUCGGCUCAUCACAUCCUGGGGCUGAAGUAGGUCCCAAGGGUAUGGCUGUUCGCCAUUUAAAGUGGUACGCGAGCUGGGUUUAGAACGUCGUGAGACAGUUCGGUCCCUAUCUGCCGUGGGCGCUGGAGAACUGAGGGGGGCUGCUCCUAGUACGAGAGGACCGGAGUGGACGCAUCACUGGUGUUCGGGUUGUCAUGCCAAUGGCACUGCCCGGUAGCUAAAUGCGGAAGAGAUAAGUGCUGAAAGCAUCUAAGCACGAAACUUGCCCCGAGAUGAGUUCUCCCUGACUCCUUGA
rnacentral:rRNA from 1 species